rnacentral:rRNA from 1 species
UACGUAGGGUGCAAGCGUUAAUCGGAAUUACUGGGCGUAAAGCGUGCGCAGGCGGCUUUGCAAGACAGAUGUGAAAUCCCCGGGCUUAACCUGGGAACUGCAUUUGUGACUGCAUGGCUAGAGUGCGGCAGAGGGGGAUGGAAUUCCGCGUGUAGCAGUGAAAUGCGUAGAUAUGCGGAGGAACACCGAUGGCGAAGGCAAUCCCCUGGGCCUGCACUGACGCUCAUGCACGAUAGCGUGGGGAGCAAACAGG